CAUCCCACGAGAACCGACUACAAUCUAAUUACAUUAACAAAUAGAUGCAAAAUAAAAUUAAUAUGGGACUGAUUUAAUAUUAGUAGAGAAUUAAUAUUAAAACUAUUCUAGCUUAUAGAUCGAAGGCAUGCAAAGUCCUGCCCUAAGGCAAUUUUCGACCCUCGUGUGGGAUUUGACUCAAGUGAUCUAUCCUAAAAUACAAUCGAAAGACCUUCCUCGUGGGC
rnacentral:lncRNA from 1 species